rnacentral:rRNA from 1 species
GACGAACGCUGGCGGCGUGCUUAACACAUGCAAGUCGAACGGAAAGGCGCUGCUUUUGUGGGGUGCUCGAGUGGCGAGCGGGUGAGUAACACGUGAGUAACCUGCCCUUGACUGUGGGAUAACUUCAGGAAACUGGGGCUAAUACAGGAUAGGAGCUCUUGCUGCAUGGGGGGGGAUGGAAAGGUUCGGCGGUUGGGGAUGGACUCGCGGCUUAUCAGCUGGGUGGUGGGGUAGUGGCUUACCAGGGCUUUGACGGGUAGCCGGCCUGAGAGGGUGACCGGCCACAUUGGGACUGAGAUACGGCCCAGACUCCUACGGGAGGCAGCAGUGGGGAAUAUUGCACAAUGGGCGGAAGCCUGAUGCAGCAACGCCGCGUGCGGGAUGACGGCCUUCGGGUUGUAAACCGCUUUCGCCUGUGACGAAGCGUGAGUGACGGUAAUGGGUAAAGAAGCACCGGCUAACUACGUG